AAAAUUCUAUUAAGCCAAGAAAGUUCGAAAUCUUUUAAUAAAGGUCGAAUCCCUCUGAUUCUUAUGUAGUUUUGCUUUACUUUAAAAAGGCGGAAUGUCAUAUUCAAUGUUUUGCGAAAUACUUGAA